rnacentral:rRNA from 1 species
ACGGAGGGUGCAAGCGUUAUUCGGAAUUACUGGGCGUAAAGCGCGUGUAGGCGGUCCUGCAAGUCUGAUGUGAAAGCCCCGGGCUUAACCCGGGAAGUGCAUUGGAGACUGCAGGUCUUGAGUACUGGAGAGGAUGGGGGAAUUCCCGGUGUAGAGGUGGAAUUCGGAGAGGUCGGGAGGAAUAUCAGUGGCGAAGGAACCCAACUGGACGGUAACUGACGCUUAGACGCGAAAGCGUGUGGAGCAAACAG